rnacentral:tRNA from 1 species
GGUUUCGUGGUGUAGUUGGUUAUCACGUCAGUGUGUUACACUGAAGGUCUCCGGUUCAAAUCCGGGCGAAGCCA